GAUGAACGCUGGCGGCGUGCCUAAUACAUGCAAGUCGAGCGAACAGACGAGGAGCUUGCUCCUUUGACGUUAGCGGCGGACGGGUUAGUAACACGUAGGUAACCUACCUAUAAGACUGGGAUAACUUCGGGAAACCGUAGCUAAUACCGGAUAAUAUUUCGAACCGCAUGGUUCGAUAGUGAAAGAUGGCUUUGCUAUCACUUAUAGAUGGAUCCGCGCCGUAUUAGCUAGUUGGUAAGGUAACGGCUUACCAAGGCAACGAUACGUAGCCGACCUGAGAGGGUGAUCGGCCACACUGGAACUGAGACACGGUCCAGACUCCUACGGGAGGCAGCAGUAGGGAAUCUUCCGAAAUGGGCGAAAGCCUGACGGAGCAACGCCGCGUGAGUGAUGAAGGUCUUCGGAUCGUAAAACUCUGUUAUUAGGGAAGAACAAACGUGUAAGUAACUGUGCACGUCUUGACGGUACCUAAUCAGAAAGCCACGGCUAACUACGUG
rnacentral:rRNA from 1 species